rnacentral:rRNA from 1 species
GGUAGGCUUAGAAGCAGCCAUCCUUUAAAGAGUGCGUAACAGCUCACCCGCCGAGACUCGGGGCGCCGAAAAUGGACGGGGCUCAAGCCGGCCGCCGAUACCCCGGGGCUCCGAAAGGAGAUCCGGUAGGGGGGCGUGCCGAUGGCGCAGAAGCCUGAGGCGUGAGCUCGGGUGGAGCCGUCGGUAACGAGAAUCCUGGCGGUAGUAGCAGCAUAGUCGGGUGAGAAUCCCGACCGCCGGAAGGGCAAGGGUUCCACGGCAAUGUUCGUCAGCCGUGGGUAAGUCGGUCCUAAGGUGGCUCGUAACUCGACGCCACCGAAAAGGGAAGCCGGUUAAUAUUCCGGCACCGCUGCCCGUUGCCUUCGUGGCACCCGACGCCUCGGGAUAGGCCGAGCGGGAGCUGCCAGCCCGUCCAAGCGUCGAAGCCCCCGGAGAUCCGUAAUGGAGAGAAGGGGGUGAAGGCGUGAUGGCGCAAGUCGGCCGACUCCUGGGGCCCGUGAAAAGGGGGGCAGUUGGACCGUACCGAGAACCGACACAGGUGCCCUGGGUUAGAAGCCUAAGGCGUGGCGGAACAUUCCGGCCGAGGGAAAUCGGCAAAUUAGCCCCGUAUCUUCGGUAGAAGGGGUGCCUGCGGUUUAGCAGACCGCAGGUCGCAGUGACUAGGGGGGAGCGACUGUUUACUAAAAACACAGGGGGCUGCAACCCGGCAACGGUUUGUACAGCCCCUGAGUCCUGCCCAGUGCGGGUACCUGAAAGCCGGGUACAACCGGUCGAAGGGCCCGUAAACGGCGGGGGUAACUAUGACCCUCUUAAGGUAGCGUAAUACCUUGCCGCUUAAUUGGCGGCUUGCAUGAACGGAUUAACGACUCCCCCACUGUCCCCGGCCGGAAGCCGGCGAACCCGACAUCCCAGUGAAGAGUCUGGGGACCCCCGUUGGGAAGCGAAGACCCUGUGGAGCUUUACUGCAGCCUGCCGUUGCUCUACAGCUGGGGGUGCGCAGGGUAGGCGGGAGGCUUCGAAGCGGCCUCUCUGGGGGCCGUGGAGCCGUNGAUGAGACACCGCCCACUUCCAGCUGUGGAGCUAACCGGCUCUGCCGGGACAUCGGUAGGUGGGCAGUUUGGGUGGGGCGCCACUCCCCCGAAAAGGUAUCGGGGGAGCCCAAAGGUCGGCUCAGGCGGGUCAGAACUCCGCCGUAGAGUGCAAGGGCAAAAGCCGGCCUGACGUGAACCCGCAAAAUAAGGGUUCACGAGCCGAAAGGCGGGCCUAGCGAACCACCCUGGCCUUUUGGUGAGGCCGGGUGACGACAGAAAAGCUACCCCAGGGAUAACAGAGUUGUCCCCGGCGAGAGUACAUAUCGACCCGGGGGCUUGCUACCUCGAUGUCGGCUCUCCCCAUCCUGGCCGUGCAGCAGCGGCCAAGGGUGAGGUUGUUCGCCUAUUAAAGGGGAUCGUGAGCUGGGUUUAGACCGUCGUGAGACAGGUCGGUUGCUAUCUAACGGGGGUGUCUGGGCGGCUGAGGGGAAGGAGGCUCUAGUACGAGAGGAACGAGCCUCCGGCGCCACUGGUUUACCGGUUGUCCGGCAGGGCAUAGCCGGGCAGCUACGCGCCAGUGGCUAAAGGCUGAAAGCAUCUAAGCCUGAAGCCACCCCCGAAAAGAGCCGCCCGUUAAGGGCUCUGCUAAAAGAGCAGGUUGAUAGGACCGGGGUGUAAGCGGCGAGCUUCGGCGAGCCGUUCAGCCCGCGGUCACUAAUCGCCCGCGC